UAGGGAAUCUUCCACAAUGGACGCAAGUCUGAUGGAGCAACGCCGCGUGAGUGAAGAAGGUUUUCGGAUCGUAAAGCUCUGUUGUUGGUGAAGAAGGAUAGAGGUAGUAACUGGCCUUUAUUUGACGGUAAUCAACCAGAAAGUCACGGCUAACUACGUGCCAGCAGCCGCGGUAAUACGUAGGUGGCAAGCGUUGUCCGGAUUUAUUGGGCGUAAAGCGAGCGCAGGCGGAAGAAUAAGUCUGAUGUGAAAGCCCUCGGCUUAACCGAGGAACUGCAGCGGAAACUGUGUAUCUUGAGUGCAGAAGAGGAGAGUUGAAUUCAAUGUGUAGCGGGGGAAUGCAUAGAUAGAAGGAAGAACACCAGUGGCGAAGGCGACUCUCUGGUCUGAAACUGACGCUGAGGCACGAAAGCAUGGGUAGCGAACAGG
rnacentral:rRNA from 1 species